rnacentral:rRNA from 1 species
ACCAAGGCAACGAUCGGUAGCCGGACUGAGAGGUUGAACGGCCACAUUGGGACUGAGACACGGCCCAGACUCCUACGGGAGGCAGCAGUGGGGAAUAUUGCACAAUGGGGGAAACCCUGAUGCAGCGACGCCGCGUGGAGGAAGAAGGUCUUCGGAUUGUAAACUCCUGUUGUUGAGGAAGAUAAUGACGGUACUCAACAAGGAAGUGACGGCUAACUACGUGCCAGCAGCCGCGGUAAAACGUAGGUCACAAGCGUUGUCCGGAAUUACUGGGUGUAAAGGGAGCGCAGGCGGGAAGACAAGUUGGAAGUGAAAUCUAUGGGCUCAACCCAUAAACUGCUUUCAAAACUGUUUUUCUUGAGUAGUGCAGAGGUAGGCGGAAUUCCCGGUGUAGCGGUGGAAUGCGUAGAUAUCGGGAGGAACACCAGUGGCGAAGGCGGCCUACUGGGCACCAACUGACGCUGAGGCUCGAAAGUGUGGGUAGCAAACAGGAUUAGAUACCCUGGUAGUCCACACCGUAAACGAUGAUUACUAGGUGUUGGAGGAUUGACCCCUUCAGUGCCGCAGUUAACACAAUAAGUAAUCCACCUGGGGAGUACGACCGCAAGGUUGAAACUCAAAGGAAUUGACGGGGGCCCGCACAAGCAGUGGAGUAUGUGGUUUAAUUCGACGCAACGCGAAGAACCUUACCAAGUCUUGACAUCCUGCGACGCACAUAGAAAUAUGUGUUUCCUUCGGGACGCAGAGACAGGUGGUGCAUGGUUGUCGUCAGCUCGUGUCGUGAGAUGUUGGGUUAAGUCCCGCAACGAGCGCAACCCUUACUGUCAGUUACUACGCAAGAGGACUCUGGCAGGACUGCCGUUGACAAAACGGAGGAAGGUGGGGAUGACGUCAAAUCAUCAUGCCCUUUAUGACUUGGGCUACACACGUACUACAAUGGCGUUAAACAAAGAGAAGCAAGACUGCGAGGUGGAGCAAAACUCAGAAACAACGUCCCAGUUCGGACUGCAGGCUGCAACUCGCCUGCACGAAGUCGGAAUUGCUAGUAAUCGUGGAUCAGCAUGCCACGGUGAAUACGUUCCCGGGCCUUGUACACACCGCCCGUCACACCAUGAGAGCCGGGGGGACCCGAAGUCGGUAGUCUAACCGCAAGGAGGACGCCGCCGAAGGUAAAACUGGUGAUUGGGGUGAAGUCGUAACAAGGUAGCCGUACUAGUACGUAAAGGUG